AGAGUUUGAUCAUGGCUCAGAGUGAACGCUGGCGGCGUGCUUAACACAUGCAAGUCGAACGAUGAAGCCUAGCUUGCUAGGUGGAUUAGUGGCGCACGGGUGAGUAAUAUAUAGGUAACGUGCCUCUUAGUCUGGGAUAGCCAUUGGAAACGAUGAUUAAUACUAGAUACUCCUUCUAACUCUAAUGUUAGUCGGGAAAGUUUUUCGCUAAGAGAUCGGCCUAUAUCCCAUCAGUUAGUUGGUAGUGUAAGAGACUACCAAGGCAAUGACGGGUAGCGGGUUUGAGAGGAUGAUCCGCCACACUGGUACUGAGACACGGACCAGACUCCUACGGGAGGCAGCAGUGAGGAAUAUUGCACAAUGGGGGAAACCCUGAUGCAGCAACGCCGCGUGGAGGAUGACGCAUUUCGGUGUGUAAACUCCUUUUAUGAGUCAAGAAAAGGAC
rnacentral:rRNA from 1 species